GCUUUCAAGUGUGCCAUGCGAGAGCAAAGUGCGCCUCGAACCAUUGCCCGGCCUCUGCUGUGGGCUGAGAGCACUGAAAGGGGUGGCACAGUG
rnacentral:snoRNA from 1 species